GACGAACGCUGGCGGCGGGCUUAACACAUGCAAGUCGAACGAGUGGCGAACGCGGGAGUAAUACGUGAGUAACCUGCCCUCUGGUUGGGGUAAGCCUUGGGAACGGGGUCUAAUAACGAAUAAAGGGGGAUGGGCCCGUGGCCUAUCAGCUUGUUGGGGGGGUGAUGGACUACCAAGGCGGUGACGGGUAGCAGGCCUGAGAGGGUGACACGGUACCUUGGUACUGAGACAAGCACCAGCGUAGUACGGGAGUGAGCAGUGGGGGAUAUUGGACAAUGGGCGGAAGCCUGAUGCAGGCACGCCGCGAGGGGGACGACGGGUUUAGGGUUGUUAACCUCUUGCGAUAUCGAACGGGUAGGUGGAGAAGAAGCGCCGGCUAACUACGUGCCAGCAGCCGCGGUAAUAC
rnacentral:rRNA from 1 species